CUUCUGUACUUCCCGGCUCAAGCAAGAGCCACAGUGACUGGAACAACAGGAAAGCCACCUUAAUCGGUCAAGCAAGCAAUUUGAAUAGGGAUUAUGAUAUAUAUGAUCAUGCAACCAUCUCCGCAAGUCAGACCCAAAAACCCCGUGUCCUGAGUAUCGGAAAGAAAAGGAAGCCAAACCUGCCUAGCCCAAAUACAGUCACGUAAUGCAUGAAGCGGAGUCUCGGG
rnacentral:misc_RNA from 1 species